AUGAACUGCCGCACAGGCAGCUUAGAAA
rnacentral:other from 1 species